rnacentral:lncRNA from 1 species
GCCAGAGACUUCCUAAGUCAUCUAGAGAUGAGAAUUCAUAGGAUGACAUCUUCUCUUACUAGGAGUGAUCGAUUUCUUAUUGACUAACUCACAACCUUCAUACACACUACAUCAUAUCCAAAACAUCCCAUACAUAUCUUAAUGUCAUACCAAGAUAUGAACCAAAUAUAGAUUCAUGUGCAUAAGAUUUCAUAGUGGUCUCAGG